rnacentral:rRNA from 1 species
UGCCAGCAGCCGCGGUAAUACGGAGGGGUUAGCGUUGUUCGGAAUUACUGGGCGUAAAGCGCGUCUAGGCGGUUUGGUAAGUCUGAUGUGAAAAUGCGGGGCUCAACUCCGUAUUGCGUUGGAAACUGUCAAACUAGAGUACUGGAGAGGUGGGCGGAACUACAAGUGUAGAGGUGAAAUUCGUAGAUAUUUGUAGGAAUGCCGAUAGUGAAGACAGCUCACUGGACAGAUACUGACGCUAAAGCUCGAAAGCGUGGGGAGCGAACAGGAUUAGAUA